GAUGAACGCUGGCGGCGUGCCUAAUACAUGCAAGUCGAGCGAACAGACGAGGAGCUUGCUCCUCUGACGUUAGCGGCGGACGGGUGAGUAACACGUGGAUAACCUACCUAUAAGACUGGGAUAACUUCGGGAAACCGGAGCUAAUACCGGAUAAUAUAUUGAACCGCAUGGUUCAAUAGUGAAAGACGGUUUUGCUGUCACUUAUAGAUGGAUCCGCGCCGCAUUAGCUAGUUGGUAAGGUAACGGCUUACCAAGGCAACGAUGCGUAGCCGACCUGAGAGAGUGAUCGGCGACACUGGAACUGAGACACGGACCAGACUCCUACGGGAGGCAGCAGUAGGGAAUCUUCCGCAAUGGGCGAAAGCCUUACGGAGCAACGCCGCGUGAGUGAUGAAGGUCUUCGGAGCGUAAAACUCUGUUAUGAGGGAAGAACAAAUGUGUAAUUAACUAUGCACGUCUUGACGGUACCUAAUCAGAAAGCCACGGCUAACUACGUG
rnacentral:rRNA from 1 species